UGGGGAAUAUUGCACAAUGGGGGAAACCCUGAUGCAGCAACGCCGCGUGAGUGAAGAAGUAUUUCGGUAUGUAAAGCUCUAUCAGCAGGGAAGAAAAUGACGGUACCUGACUAAGAAGCCCCGGCUAACUACGUGCCAGCAGCCGCGGUAAUACGUAGGGGGCAAGCGUUAUCCGGAUUUACUGGGUGUAAAGGGAGCGUAGACGGCGAAGCAAGUCUGAAGUGAAAGCCCGGGGCUUAACCCCGGGACUGCUUUGGAAACUGUUUUGCUAGAGUGCUGGAGAGGUAAGUGGAAUUCCUAGUGUAGCGGUGAAAUGCGUAGAUAUUAGGAGGAACACCAGUGGCGAAGGCGGCUUACUGGACAGUAACUGACGUUGAGGCUCGAAAGCGUGGGGAGCAAACAG
rnacentral:rRNA from 1 species